rnacentral:rRNA from 1 species
UACGUAGGGUGCAAGCGUUAAUCGGAAUUACUGGGCGUAAAGCGUGCGCAGGCGGCUAUGCAAGACAGAUGUGAAAUCCCCGGGCUCAACCUGGGAACUGCAUUUGUGACUGCAUGGCUAGAGUACGGUAGAGGGGGAUGGAAUUCCGGCGUGUAAGCAGUGAAAUGCGUAGAUAUGCGGAGGAACACCGAUGGCGGAAGGCAAUCCCCUGGACCUGUACUGACGCUCAUGCACGAAAGCGUGGGGAGCAAACAGG